rnacentral:rRNA from 1 species
UACGGAGGGUGCGAGCGUUAUCCGGAUUCACUGGGUUUAAAGGGUGCGUAGGUGGGUCUGUAAGUCCGUGGUGAAAUCUCCAAGCUUAACUUGGAAACUGCCAUGGAUACUAUAGGUCUUGAAUACCGUGGAGGUGAGCGGAAUAUGUCAUGUAGCGGUGAAAUGCUUAGAUAUGACAUAGAACACCAAUUGCGAAGGCAGCUCACUACACGAAUAUUGACACUGAGGCACGAAAGCGUGGGGAUCAAACAGG